rnacentral:rRNA from 1 species
UGCCAGCAGCCGCGGUAAUACGGAGGGGGCAAGCGUUAUUCGGAAUUAUUGGGCGUAAAGGGCGCGUAGGCGGCCAUGCAAGUCAGGGGUGAAAUCCCUCGGCUCAACCGAGGAACUGCCUCUGAAACUGCAUGGCUUGAGACCGGGAGAGGGUGGUGGAAUUCCUAGUGUAGCGGUGAAAUGCGUAGAUAUUAGGAAGAACACCAGUGGCGAAGGCGACUUUCUGGCUCGUAACUGACGCUGAGGCACGAAAGCGUGGGGAGCAAACAGGAUUAGAUA